rnacentral:rRNA from 1 species
CGCGUAGGCGGCCUGCUAAGUCGAACGUGAAAUCCCCGGGCUCAACCCGGGAACUGCGUCCGAUACUGGCAGGCUUGAAUCCGGGAGAGGGAUGCGGAAUUCCAGGUGUAGCGGUGAAAUGCGUAGAUAUCUGGAGGAACACCGGUGGCGAAGGCGGCAUCCUGGACCGGCAUUGACGCUGAGGCGCGAAAGCCAGGGAGCAAACG